AUGGCGGCCACCCCGCUCGACUCCGCCUGGGAGUGGCUGAUCACCAACUUCAGCGAGUUCCAGCUGGCCACCGUCGUCACCUUCGUCCUCCACGAGAGCGUCUUCUUCCUCUCCGGCUUCCCCUCCCUCCUCUUCGAGCGCUUCGGACUCUUCGCCAAGUACAAGAUCCAGAAGAAGAGCAACACUUCUGAUUACCAGAACAGAUGCGUCAUGCGUCUCAUUCUCUACCAUGUCUGUGUGAAUUUGCCAGUCAUGAUUUUCUCCUAUCCUGCCUUUAAGUUCAUGGGGCUGAGGAGCUCUCUUCCUCUGCCACACUGGACGGUCAUUGUAUCUCAAGUUCUUUUUUAUUUUAUACUCGAAGAUUUCAUAUUCUAUUGGGGGCACAGGGCUCUGCAUACCAAAUGGCUAUACAAGCAUGUCCACAGUGUGCACCAUGAAUAUGCUACACCAUUCGGCUUAACUUCGGAAUAUGCACACCCUGCUGAAAUUUUGUUCCUGGGAUUUGCCACGGUUGUUGGUCCUGCCCUGACCGGCCCUCACUUGUUCACCCUUUGGCUGUGGAUGGUUUUGAGGGUGUUAGAGACGGUUGAAGCUCACAGUGGAUAUCACUUCCCUUGGAGCCCAUCAAACUUCCUGCCACUGUAUGGAGGCUCUGACUUCCAUGACUACCAUCAUCGUGUGCUGUACACCAAGUCAGGAAACUACGCCUCUACUUUUGUUUACAUGGACUGGUUGUUUGGCACAGAUAAGGGUUAUCGCAAGACAAAAGCCAUCGAAGGGGAAGAAGGGAAGCAUUUGUAA
rnacentral:rRNA from 1 species